GACGAACGCUGGCGGCGUGCCUAAUACAUGCAAGUCGAGCGGACUUUCAAGAAGCUUGCUUUUUGAAAGUUAGCGGCGGACGGGUGAGUAACACGUGGGCAACCUGCCUGCAAGACGGGGAUAACUCCGGGAAACCGGGGCUAAUACCGGAUAAUAUCUUCCUUCGCAUGAAGGAAGGUUGAAAGGCGGCGCAAGCUGCCGCUUGCAGAUGGGCCCGCGGCGCAUUAGCUAGUUGGUGAGGUAACGGCUCACCAAGGCGACGAUGCGUAGCCGACCUGAGAGGGUGAUCGGCCACACUGGGACUGAGACACGGCCCAGACUCCUACGGGAGGCAGCAGUAGGGAAUCUUCCGCAAUGGACGAAAGUCUGACGGAGCAACGCCGCGUGAGCGAAGAAGGGCUUCGGAUCGUAAAGCUCUGUUGUCAGGGAAGAACAAGUACCGUUCGAACAGGGCGGUACCUUGACGGUACCUGAACAGAAAGCCACGGCUAACUACGUG
rnacentral:rRNA from 1 species